rnacentral:rRNA from 1 species
GAUGAACGCUAGCGGCAGGCUUAAUACAUGCAAGUCGAGGGGUAACAUGGGUAGCAAUACCUGAUGACGACCGGCAAACGGGUGCGGAACACGUACGCAACUUCCCCAAAACUGGUGAAUAGCCCUCCGAAAGGAGGAUUAAUACACCGUAAGAUAUCUGAGUGGCAUCACUUGGCUAUUAUAGCUCCGGCGGUUUUGGAUGGGCGUGCGCCUGAUUAGGUAGUUGGCGGGGUAACGGCCCACCAAGCCUGCGAUCAGUAACUGGUGUGAGAGCACGACCAGUCACACGGGCACUGGGACACGGGCCCGACUCCUACGGGAGGCAGCAGUAAGGAAUAUUGGUCAAUGGACGAAAGUCUGAACCAGCCAUGCCGCGUGAAGGAUGAAGGCCCUCUGGGUUGUAAACUUCUUUUAUAGGGGACGAAAAAAGGGAAUUCUUUCUCACUUGACGGUACCCUAGGAAUAAGCACCGGCUAACUCCGUGCCAGCAGCCGCAGUAAAAC